UCCAGAGGUGGCAAGCGUUGUUCGGAAUUACUGGGCGUAAAGGGCGCGUAGGCGGCCAUCUAAGUCAGACGUGAAAUCCCCCGGCUUAACCUGGGAACUGCGUCUGAUACUGGAGGGCUCGAGUGCGGGAGAGGGAUGUGGAAUUCCAGGUGUAGCGGUGAAAUGCGUAGAUAUCUGGAGGAACACCGGUGGCGAAGGCGGCAUCCUGGACCGACACUGACGCUGAGGCGCGAAAGCUAGGGUAGAAAACGGG
rnacentral:rRNA from 1 species